AUUGAACGCUGGCGGCAGGCCUAACACAUGCAAGUCGAACGAGUGGCGGACGGGUGAGUAAUGUAUGGGAAAAUGCCUGAUGGAGGGGGAUAACUACUGGAAACGGUAGCCAAUACCGCAUACCAUCGGAUGUGCCCAGAUGGGAUUAGCUAGUAGGUGGGGUAAAGGUUCACCUGGGCGACGAUCCCUAGCUGGUAUGAGAGGAGGACCAGCCACACGGGAACUGAGACACGGCCCAGACUCCGACGGGAGGCAGCAGUGGGGAAUAUUGCACAAUGUGCGCAAGCCGGAUGCAGCCAUGCCGCGUGUAGGAAGAAGGCCUUCGGGUUGUAAAGUACUUUCCGCGGGGAGGCGUUACCCGCAGAAGAAGCACCGGCUAACUCCGUGCCAGCCGCCGCGGUAAUAC
rnacentral:rRNA from 1 species